UUUAUCUUUUGUUUAUUAAUGGAUUUACUCAUGCGUUUGUGUCUACUCAGAAACACCCAUUUCUUAAAGGAGUACUCCUUUGUCAUCAUUAUAUACUGUGAUGCUUAAAUUAUCCCAUAACAUGCCCGUGGGAGUACAUUCAAGAGGACCUGCUCUUCAUUUGUUAUCUGUCUAGAAUUCUGGAUUAUCUGACCACCCCUGGGAAGAAAGCCAAAAGCAAAUGCUUCUUGUCAGUGAUACUUUGUGUCCUCUGCCUAUCAAUAUCAGGUCUCUUCUAUGGGAAGAACAGCAGGACUGCAGAGAGAACAAGCAGAAUGUUGACAAGAAGCAGACAUGAGCCCUUGUUUCCAGUAUGUGAGUCAUCAUUGCCACCAAUGGUCUGGGUCAUUGGCUGUGCACACACAUCCACAGACAGUACAACAACAGCCUCUAGUCCCUUGUUGCUGACCUUUGGGAAGCUGGGCAUGUAAGGCCAUACAUGAUCUACAGUGUACUUGUAGAGGUCAGAGGACAACUUGCAGGAGUCAUUUCUCUGCUUCCACAAUGUGAGUCCUGGGGAUCCAACUGAAGUCAUCAGAAGCAGUACUCGGGCUUCUAUUACA